GUGCAGUGAUGAAAAUACUUUUUCUACUGACCUUUUAAUUGUGAAGGUUUCUGCACUUAAAUGGAGCUCA
rnacentral:snoRNA from 1 species